AUUGUUUUCUGCUGUUCCGUAGCAAGAGAGUACAUGUGGAAUUCUGUUCGGACAGGACAGAACAACGACUUUCAUUCUGCGAAAAUGGCUAAAAUAUCGUUGCUGAGAGUGCUUCUCAAUGAACGAUUAACAGCAGUUGCUGAUGAGAUAUUUGGGGCUGUUGAAAAAACGGUGGCAGAGUACCAGGAAGAAAUCUAUCGUUCUAAGGAGGAGAACGAGAAGCUACGGAGGCUGCUUGAUAUCGUUCUUAAACCAGAUAUAAAGUUGCAUAGAUCGGACCUACAGCAGCUCACUGUCUCUGAAAAGGUUCCCCCUGAACAGCAGCACUGUGAACAGGAGUUGAACCCCAGUCUGGGGCAGGAGGACCCAGAGCCCACACAGAUUAAUGAGCAGGAGCUCAGGACUAGCCAUGGGAGAGAGCAGCUUCAUGCUCUGGAGUCAAAAGACCCUAAUGUUAUAUUCACAAUUGCUUGUGUCAAAAGCUUGUGCCAGAAUCAGGUCUCAACUGAGCCUUCACAUCUUUACCAAACCCAAAGUGAGGAAUAUGAACAGGGACCCUCUCUACCAAGCACUUCAAUAGAACAGAUCAAAACAGAACCUGAUGGAGAGGGCUACAUGUCAUUAGAACCAACCAGUGAACCUCAGCCCCUCUCUGCAUUUAAUCACUAUUCUGCUGUUCAGCGUGAAAACAGAGUAAUCCUCAGUGUAGAUCGUGUGGCGAGUGGAGAGCUUCCAUCAGGGUCAAAGCCACCGGAAUCAAAGAGAGCACAGAAUCGAGGCCCUGCUGCUGCCACAGGCCAGGCCACAGCAAGCCAGUCCCUGGACCCCACUCUUUCCUCACUACCUUUCCACCACCCAGCUGUGCCCCGGUCCAUUGCAUGGCGCCAAAAGAGGAAGGGGGAGGAAUAUGCACACGCCCAGCAGCAGGGCGCUCUUUACCCAAAACGCUCAAAUGUAUACCGCUCGAAGGUACAUCCUGACAUUUCCAUUCCUCAUCUGACACCAGAAUAUGACGAACUGCUCACCAACCGCAGCGGGGGCCGUCCGGACCGCUAUGCUGUUUUGCUAUUCCGUGCAUGUGUAAGCGAAGAGAGAUACCGCGAGUGGGAACAGAAUACCAACUGGGAUGGAUCACGAGGAAAAUUUGGCUUGCCAGUGAACCUCCGAAUGUUCAUCAGGACCACUGUGUCUCAGAAGUUUCCUUCCAUGAGUGAUGUAACCCGAAAAAACAUAAAAGACAGAGUAAAUGAGUACUUGAGGUCACCGAGGAAGUCUGGACAUGGACUGCUCUCGCUUAUCUAAGGAAUUAGGCAUAUUGCAGACCGAUCUCAUAAUCACUUCCUUUCCUAGCUGAGCCUGUUAUAGUUUGUGACCCUGUGUUACCCAGCACAGUGAGGGGAAAGAAGCAGUGGACUGGGCCAGGCUGGACUGGUUCUGAGCCAGGCAGAUGGUUGGUCCUGGCAGCAGGAAAGAAAAAAGACAACAUGAAGAUACAUCCAAUGUAGUGUAUAGUGCAACGACAUACGGUGCCUUCGGAAAGUAUUCAGACCCCUUGACUUUUUCCACGUUUUGUUACAUUACAGCCUUAUUCUAAAAUGGUUUAAUUUGAAAAAUAAUACUCAUCAAUCUACACACAUUACCCCAUAAUGACAAAGCGAAAACAGGUUUUUAGAAAUUUUAGCACAUUUUUUUUAAAUAUUUUUUUUUAUAAAUACCUUAUUUGGGCAUUUAAAAUGUAUUGUUUUGGGCAUUUAAAAUGUAUUGUUAUGCUUAGACCUCUUGACGUAAGGACUAAGGCAGGGGUGUCAAACAAAAUUCCUGGAGAGGCAAGUGUUUGUGGGUUUAUUAUUUUGGAACUCCUCUCACCUGGUUUUCUAGGUCUUAAUUGAAAAUUAAUUUAAAGGAAAUAACCCAAUAGACACGUGGCUCUCCAGGAAUUGAGUUUGAAACCUCUGGACAAAGGUGUAGGACUGAUUGUCAUAGGGAGUCCCAGCCUGGCUACCCAUCAAAUUAGCUUUUGUAGGAUAUUAUGCAGUUAAUCUGAAGAUAUAAUUAUGGUAGACUAAUUAUAUACAUACAUAAUAAAUUAGGAUUGAUUUCACCAGAAUGUCACCUUGAGGAACAUCACAUCAAGGACAAAGAACAGCUUAUCCAAGUUUGCCAGCCUGGGGUGUGCACCACCCAAGAUGAUGGCUUUAGGUCUGGUGUGUCCUGUCCAUGACCUAUGAAUGUAGACACAGAGAAUGUGGUUGCAGAGCAUAAAUACAGUCAUUACAGAAAACCAUUACAUGCACCUUCCUGAUGCCUAUUAAUAAUUUGAACAAAAAUGUUACUUUCCAUCA